GUUGAAACACCAAUUUUCGUUUGAUCACCAAAGUUAAGCAGUGUCAAGCCUGGUCAGUACCUAGAUGGGUGACCACUUCAGAAUACCAGGUGCUGCAAG